GUCCAAAUAAUAAUAAUGAUGCCAAAACAAUUUACAAAUAAAUAAAGUGCUAAUGUUCCAAUUAAUAAAGUCGCUCAUUUCACUAAUUCAUUCACAGUAUAAGUUUAGAAGUCCAAAAUGUUCGAAAUAUUCCAAGUCUGGCUUGAAGAGUUGUGUUGAGCUGUCUUUUGAGUUGGCGAUUCUCCUGAGUAGCUGAGCCUGGUUGGCUUUGGAAGCACUCCUAUCUGAAUAACACCGACGAGACUACACUAACGAAUAACUGUUCCACUCUGAUAUUUAAGGCCACUGCUGAAAACUGCUCAUAAAUGACAUUGAUAAUUUUGAUAAUUGAGAUAAUUUGGGUAUUAAUAAUAUUGUUUACAGGUUACAAGAGCGCAAUUAUUUGUUUACAUUUUACCGGCAAGUUUUUUUACCCGCAAGAUGGUAUCAGAAUAGAAUCCUAUACGGCUUCUGAUUGGUUGAUACAGGAUUGAAAUUACAUUUAAUCGAAAGCUUAUCCAAUUAGGUUUAAAAAUUGCCGAAAAUCAUAUUCACAUUUUACGAAGUGUAGAAAAUAUCUUCAAUUUCUGCACGUCGGAGCCAUUAAAAAUAUGCCUUUUUCAUUAAGAGAAAAAAGAGGACGAUCUUUUUCAACUGCAUUUUAAGUCAAUUUGUGCCGCAUGACCCUAUAUAUUUUUUUGGGUGUAAUGCAACACUGGCAAUUCUAGUAACAGGAACUGCUACCUGUUUUUCCCUAGUUUGUGAAGUCCUCGAGAAAAAAAAUACGGAACACUGAUGGUACCCUAUGGAAAAUGCAUCACGAAUUAUUGCGCUCUUGUAACCUAUAGAGAAAUGACACUUUUUUUUAAUAAGACUUUGAAAAAUAUCAAAAAUAGUCAUUUUGCUCGGGAAAAAUGUGAAACAGUGAGAAACGGGGUCAAAUGGACUUUUCAUCAACGUGAAUUCAUACUAUAGUCUGUUUCCUAUUUGUAUUUAUUUCUAUAUCUAAAUCUAGGGUGGGCUCGAAUGUCGACAAAGUAUGAAGAGAGUAGAACGUUUUUGUGAUAUCUACUGUUUUAUAUCGGAAAAUGGCAUUUAUUUAUCUUGAAUUUGACCGUAAAUUUUGGUUUUUAACCAUAAUGACCGUGUCUCAGUUGCUGUUCUAGCAAAAAGCUAAUUUCAUGAAAAUUGGCCAAAAGGGUCCCUAAGCAGAUAACCAACGAUUUAGUGAAAUUGCAAAGUAGAAAAAUUAAUCUUUGCAUUGAAUAUUGUAGUCCAACAAUAGUUUCUCUUGUCAAAGUAGUAAUAUUAUCAUAUUUUCAAAAUUUGGAAAAACUAUAGUCUGUUUCAAAAACGUGUUUUUUCAAGAAAUAGUUUCAAAUAAAGUCAUUCUUCAAAAUUCGAUGUAGCUUUUCCAUAUCAGAAUGGUUUUGUCGACAAUAUGAUCAGUGCUGGAUGACCUUCGAAAAAUUAGGCCAAUAAAUUAACAUUAUCUUCAUGUCUCUUUGACCAGUACUGUGUUUGGUGAAAAAAUCAGUUCCAAUUUUUGGCCUGAUCCAUGUGCAAAAACUAGUUCUCCAAAUUCAGAGAGUGAUCAGACAAUGUUCUGAAGAUGUGAUAUUAUCUAGAUAGACGCUACCGUGACUUUUGGUCCGUGCGCUUUAUUUUCGGAAAUUAUUUUCACUACCAUAUAGGUUUCAAGAGCGCAAUUAUUUGUUUACAUUUUACCGGCAAGUUUUUUACCCCAAGAUGGUACUCAGAAUAGAAUCCUAUACGGCUUCUGAUUGGUUGAUACAGGAUUGAAAUUACAUUUAAUCGAAAGCUUAUCCAAUUAGGUUUAAAAAUUGCUGAAAAUCAUAUUCACAUUUUACGAAGUAUAGAAAAUAUCUUCAAUUUCUGCACGUCAUAGCCAUUAUAAAUAUGCCUUUUUCAUUAA
rnacentral:lncRNA from 1 species